GACAGAGGAUGCAAACGUUGCUCGGAAUUACUGGGCGUAAAGCGCGUGUAGGCGGUCUGAUAAGUCGGACGUGAAAUCCCGGGGCUCAACCCCGGAAGAGCGCUCGAUACUGCCAGACUUGGGUUCUGAAGAGGAGAGCGGAAUUCCCGGUGUAGAGGUGAAAUUCGUAGAUAUCGGGAGGAACACCAGUGGCGAAGGCGGCUCUCUGGGGCAGAUACCGACGUGAGACGCGAAAGCGUGGGAAGCAAACAGG
rnacentral:rRNA from 1 species